GAAACUCCCAGCGUCCACUCGUGGAGGGUCAUUUGGUAAACGCGUGAACUUGAGCGCUAGAAGAGAAAAAACCGAUUUCCACGUGUUGCCGGUGAAAUGUGCUGAGAUGAUGGAGGAAACACCACGUGGCGAAGGCGGCUCUUUUGGUCUUUUAACUGCUCGCUCAGGACGCGACAAGCGUAGGGAGCAAACAGGAUUAGAUACCCUGGUAGUCCACGCCGUAAAACGAUGAGUCCUAAGUGUGAGAUGGUUUUCCGCCCUUUAGUGCUCCAGCUAACCCAUUAACCACUCCCCCCCUCGGGAGUACGGUCGCAAGACUGAAACUCAAAGGAAUUGACGGGGGGCCCGCCCAAGCGGUGGAGCAUUUGGUUUAAUUCGAAGCAACGCGAAGAACCUUACCAGGUCUUGACAUCCUCUGACAACUCUAGAGAUAGAGCGUUCCCCUUCGGGGGACAGAGUGACAGGUGGUGCAUGGUUGUCGUCAGCUCGUGUCGUGAGAUGUUGGGUUAAGUCCCGCAACGAGCGCAACCCUUGAUCUUAGUUGCCAGCAUUUAGUGGGGCACUCUAAGGUGACUGCCGGUGACAAACCGGAGGAAGGUGGGGAUGACGUCAAAUCAUCAUGCCCCUUAUGACCUGGGCUACACACGUGCUACAAUGGAUGGUACAAAGGGCUGCAAGACCGCGAGGUCAAGCCAAUCCCAUAAAACCAUUCUCAGUUCGGAUUGUAGGCUGCAACUCGCCUACAUGAAGCUGGAAUCGCUAGUAAUCGCGGAUCAGCAUGCCGCGGUGAAUACGUUCCCGGGCCUUGUACACACCGCCCGUCACACCACGAGAGUUUGUAACACCCGAAGUCGGUGGAGUAACCGUAAGGAGCUA
rnacentral:rRNA from 1 species